UACGGAGGAUGCGAGCGUUAUCCGGAUUUAUUGGGUUUAAAGGGUGCGUAGGCGGAUCGUUAAGUCAGUGGUCAAAUUGAGGGGCUCAACCCCUUCCCGCCAUUGAAACUGGCGAUCUUGAGUGGAAGAGAAGUAUGCGGAAUGCGUGGUGUAGCGGUGAAAUGCAUAGAUAUCACGCAGAACCCCGAUUGCGAAGGCAGCAUGCCGGCUUCCUACUGACGCUGAAGCACGAAAGCGUGGGUAUCGAACAGG
rnacentral:rRNA from 1 species